rfam:Triticum urartu cultivar G1812 contig643729, whole genome shotgun sequence.
UUGGUACUCCCUCCAUUCGGAAUUACUUGUCGCGGAAAUGGAUGUAUCUAGAUGUAUUUUAGUUCUAGAUACAUCCAUUUUCGAGACAAGUAAUUUCGAACGGAGGGAGUAGAAG